rnacentral:rRNA from 1 species
GUCUACGGCCAUACCACCCUGAACGCGCCCGAUCUCGUCUGAUCUCGGAAGCUAAGCAGGGUCGGGCCUGGUUAGUACUUGGAUGGGAGAUUUUGAUGGGGAUUGCAUUGAAUCUGUAGAUU